CACAUAUAAGACAUAACAAAGACAUAGGCUAAGAAAACAAUAAACAGAUUAACAGUCUCUUAUGCAGAGAGAGGGAGAACCUCUCAGUUUGAAUUCAGGACAGCAAGUAAGAAGGCUAACAGAAACUUAGACUCCACUCCCAAGCCUGAACGUAGAGACAAAACAUACAGACAAGCAUGCCCCCAGACAAGAGCCGAGAAAAUGCCUAUCUAGGAAACUCCAACAGAAUUUACCAUGUAUAAAAGGCCUGCUCAACUUAGGCCCUCCAGCUGUUUUGGAUUAUAGCUCCCAUAAUCCCCAGCCACAGUGGUCAAUAGCCAGGGAUUAUGGGAGUUGUAGGCCAACAUCUGCAAGAGGGCUGAAGUUGAACAGUCCUGCUGUAUAACAAGAUGGUUGUACUGAAAAAAUAAGGUGAAUGUUCUGUAUGGUAGGAAUAACUGGUUCCAAAGCUUUCACAGAAUAAAGCGCAUCAUAAAAUGGCUGCUCAAAAACUGCUUAGCUGUUGCUGCCCUUAAUCAACUUUAACAGCAAGUCUAUUGUAGUGGCAGUGCAACAAGGAGAGGAGGUAUGGCUUGAACACAAAGAGCUCUAAUUUUCAACUUGCAUGGUAAUCAUUUGAUGUCAACUUGCAUGGUAAUCAUUUGAUGAAUAAAUCAAUCAGGAGCAGAUGGACAGUCUUUCAGAAGCCACACAAUUUACCAUAAGAAAAGGAAAUCUGAGGCGAAUGCAAAUAACUGAAGAGACUCGACCAGUAAAGGAAAACAGAGUGAGACACAUAUCCAGCAGUAUAACAAGAAACCUGUGACUUUCAUUGUGUCUGGAAGUCCUGAGCUCUUUGGCCAAACUCAGGCUGUAAAGCCUGACACUUCACUGGGCUUAGGCCUUAUCUCAGUCUCAGCGUCUUUCUGAGACAUGUUGCCUCCUGAAGAGCCUGUGCUGAACUGAAAUUUAUGGAAGUCCAGUAAUGUGAUAUGAAUGUUUUUCAAGACAUUGCUUAGGAAGAGUGAAGGAGAGACAAAACUAAUGCAAACAGAAACAAUAAGGCCCCAAAGGAGAUAGAGGCCCCAAUAGAGGCCUCUGUCCUGCACUGUAGCUGACGUUGUAGUUGAAAAGACAGAAGAGUAAGAGUAGGAGGAAGACAGGAAGCCUACACAAAGAGCUGGAAGUGAAGCUGUCCUGUCCUGUGGCUUGAGCUGACUGCUGUAAGACUCGAAGGCUGAGAAGCAGGAAAAAUGAACGUAGCUGAUGUAUCAUCGAAAGCAGAUACAAUACACUCUUGGCCUCUUCCUCAUCCUGAGAAACCGGAGAAAGUUUUGGAUCCAGGAGCACUCAAGCUACAUAACCGAUCUUUCAGGAGGAGUGUAACCCCAUCCAGAACAAGGAGAUAUAAACCAUCUCUUGGGUUCAAACCCCCACAACGAUCAUCAUUUGCCAUCUGGGAGACUGUAAAGGGGGAGGAACUGGCUGCCACCUCUGAUGUAUGAAGGCCAACCAUGGCAGCCAACUGCAUUCAAGAGAGAGAGGGACUUCCUACACUUUACUCCGGUUUCUGCAAGCUGCACAAACCAGAUGACACAUUGGAGCUUCUGGACUGUUGGUUGGUAUAAUAUAAUUAUGACUGGUUUGGGACAAUUGGCACUUGAUUCAUGGCUGUUGAAGAAUGGAUGAGCACAAGAAGGAACUUUUCCUUGGGGAGAAGUCCAGUGUGAGCUACUCCUAGGGUGAAGAAGAAGAAGAAGAAGAAGAAGAAGAAGAAGAAGAAGAAGAAGAAGAAGAAGAAGAAGAAGACACCGUCUAAUAUAGAGCAUAAUGCAGCAAUCCUUGAAUAUUCAAGGAAUAUGUGGUGAGCAAUUUUUGAAGGACAAAAGCAUGCUAGCGGAGAAACAAUGGGUGGCAGUGAGCACAUAAUACAAAAACACAGCUCAAGUUGAAGACAGGGAAAAGGUGAUAAUGGCAAACAUUAAUGCCUGCAUUAUAAAUAGACAGACUAUUCACCAGCAGCAAAGAAAGAUUUCUUUUUAUCUUGAAAUAUCAUGACAGGCAAAACUCAGCUCACUUAUUUGGCUGAGGUAGGUAGAUAAUACCUAUCACCUUUGCUGAUGAUUGGCACAAACACACAUGAAAAGUGAGUAUGAUUUAGUACCUUCUACUGUGUGUCACGUUAUGCCAUUAUAAUACUAGGUACACAGCCGGGAAAUCAACAGUGACACAAGAGAGAAAAAUGUAUGCAUUUGUCCAGCAUUAAGUUUCUUAUGCAGAAAGCACUUGAAGAGGGGUUGAGAGCUAUGCGUUCGCCUGGAAAAUUAUUGCUUUAUAACAGGCAGUAUUUUAUUAUAGAAAACAAAGAAGGGGCCUCUCUUCCAUGACGGUCGACAAUAGGGGAGGAGGUUGGAGAGAUGUCUGAAUUCUCAUAAAGAAUAAUGAGAAGAAAGGCACUGCAGUUCUCAUGAUUUCACAAAUGGUUUUAGGGGACUCAAGAUAUCAUGGGGCCUCACAAAAAUAACACUUGGAAAGGGCUGUUUAGACCUUAAGGAGGGACCCAGGUUGGGGAAGAAACACUUUAGCAAGAACAGACACCAACACUGGACAAUUCUUAAGACUUCAGUAAGGAAUCUCAGGCAUGUAUAGUAAAAUAACAUACUGCUUCAAAGAGUAUAUAUUGUGUGUGUUCAAAAGGAAGAUUGAGUCAAGUUAAGAAGAAACAAAUCCAGAGUCAAAAUAAACAAAUAGCAAGGAGAGAGGAUGGAAGAAAUCCCUAGGAAGGUGAGUCAUGGUAGGAAAUUGAAGAACCACUUAAAAUCAAGCAGCACGAAGAUACAUAGCCAAACUUGACUGUCAAGUUCAGUAACUUAGGACAAGGACUAGGGAUGUGCAAAAAAUUUCGGGCACAGAAACGAACAAUUUCGGGUGAUUCGGGGCCGAACUGAAUCACCCCCGAUGUCCCCCGAUAUUUUUCGGGCACGAGCCGAAUCACCCGAAUUUCGGGCACGAAAAAUUCGGGUGAUUCGGUUCACGGUUGAUUUUUGGUGA